ACAUAUUCGUGGCAGGUACGAGUACCGCCGCCGCCGCUCUACAGUGGGCUAUCCUCUACAUGACGGUGUAUCCGGAAGUUCAGGAAAAGAUAUCCAUGGCUAUUUCGUCAGAAACAGAGACACCUUGGACACCAGAAAGAUAUAAAGGCUGUUAUUACCAGCACCAUUGGAUGAGUGCUGAAGAUGGAUUCAAUGAAAAGGUGACCCUAAAGUCCUGACGUUAUCCCACCCAUUGAGAUGUCAUGUCAAGCUGAAUAUUUUCUACUACCAUCAACGGUUUACCAAGGGGUUAGCUACAGAGCAUCACCCACUGCACGGUUCCUUUUGCUCAAAACUGAGUACAGUAGAAGCCAGUUAAUUGCACAACAGAUAACCGCACACUUCUGUUAAUUGCACGGAAUCUCUAAAUCCCGUGGUAGUACAUUCCAGCUCGAUAACUUCAGUUUGUUGCACUAUCUGGAUAAUUGCAAGAAAGGUGCUGGCAAAUUAAUUUGGGUGUGCAGUUAAACGGCUUCUACAGUACCUGCUUUUUUGUGUCAUCAUGGUAACACAUACAUGUAUUUUGCAUUUCUUUUGAUUAAUAUUGAAGACACAGGGAUGGUAUGUAUGAUCAUGAUAUUUGAAUAGAAAACAUUGAAUUGUCAUUUUACUAUCUGCUGUAAUUACAAUUUCAGAUCUAACUUCUGCCCUGUAAUUGUAGGAAAGUAACAGGGAUUUAUAUAUAACUUUAUAUUAUAAGGACCAUAUUGUGAAAAUGCAGAUCAUGUGGUUUCUGUAGAUAGGCCUCACCAAUAUUUGUAACUGUAACUGUAUCUAUAUGUAUGGCCUAUACUGUACUGUAUAUCUUUUCCAUUACAUGAAACAGAAAGCCUCAUGUAAAUCUUUAAGUGAAAAAUCUAAAUAGAACAAUCAAUCUUUCAUUUCUCAAGGUGAGUCAGAGACAAAAAGGAUGUACUAGUUUUUAUAUGUCUUUCGUUAUUGUUUAGAAUUUUUUAUGAUUAGAGAGUGUCUAUUCUUGGAGCUGAAAGAUAUAUCAUUUGUAGCACUAGCUUUAUAUCUGUAAACAGUAUCUUUUAAAUCUUUAUGAUUUGAGACAGUAUCCAUUUCUAGCACUAGCUAGUAUGUCUUUCUCGGUAGUGUUUUAGAGACAGUAUCUCUCCUUGGUGCUGAAAGGGACAUCAUUAACAGGACUAGCUUUCACAUGUUUACACAUAGUGGUAUUCUUUUUAUUGCUGCAAACAACAUGAAAACAAAAUCAUGAAUACAAGUGGCUGUUGA